GGGUGAAGACAUAUGCCACUAAAGGGACAUAUCUCAUUACACUGACACAACAUCCUCUUGUGCAUCUAGCAUUACACAUUCUUGGAAAUUCCCCCCAUAACAUUUGUUUACAUGGCAUUUUGCAGGCAGGCACAUGAAAAUUCCACCCAAACUGAGCCAGCAGGACAUGUGCCAGCUCUGAAUGAAAAGCCAUACUGUUGCAUUUAGCACAUCAUCGAGCCUCAAAUGAUAAACUCCACUCAGCAUCUAAGAGACUAAACACCACUGCAUUCUUUUCCUGUGAAUGUGGCAAUUCCUAAAACUGAGGGAAGUAACAGCAUUUCAGCAGGGAAAGCCUGGACCUCAGGACACUCCCUACUUGGAGAGUGAAUCAAGGCUGCAUAUGCAGUACAAAAGGCUGUCUUCUGAAAGUACUCAGCUUGGCCAAAAAGCUGGAAGAAAAAUUUGAGCAAAGCCAGAAUUGGAGGAAGAAGAGUCUGGUUUCAUAGUCAAGGCUGAUAAGUGGUAAUCUGGAGCAUUUUUCUCUGGACCUGCCUCUGUAUAACACUUUUCUUUUAAUUUUAGCAAAUGCAAUACAAUGCCAAGUAUAUGGGGGGGAAAAACCAAACCAAGAAAAAAGGCUUGGGCAGCUGAACAUACAAAGUGCAUUAUAGCACUGAAUUGCAAGGCUUAAUUCUGAUCUAUUAAAUAUGGGACCUAUUAACCUGCUAAAAAUGUUCUGAAAAUAUUAUUGAUACUUGACUAAUAUGUGAGACUGCUUAGAGACCAUUGUGGCACCUUCCACAUAAGAAAUGAUCAGAAAGUUAAUAAAACUAUUUACUUAGCUAAUUUUUUAAAAAAACACAGUAAAUAUGGUCAGAUGUAGACAUUAAUUUGCUUGUUAUUUAAUCACCAGUUAUGGUAUACAGAAGUAGCACAGGAAAUAAAGGUAGCAUAAUGUAUUUGGCCCUAUGUGCAAAACUACUAUAUAUUUUAUUAAGGACCAUUUUAAGAAUGUUGAGUUCUAUUAACAACAAAAUCCAGAAUUCCAAACAGUUUAGCUGUUAGCACAGUCACCCUUGUUAGUCGUGAUUAAAUUUCAAAAACAGAAAAGCGACAGCAAUUCUGGGGAGGAAGGUCUUAUUUUUCUAUACCAUCAUUACCAAUGAAGUCAAAUCAUUAUUUUUAUAAAAUGAGGGUGAAAGCCUAAAGUUUUACAAAAGUUGCCUUCACUGAGAAAGAUACCUAUCACUUCCUUAAAAGUGUAGUGAGUAUUUUAUUCUUAAUCAAAAUGGGCUAUUUAUUCUGCCAGCCCCUGUAAUUUUAUAAUGUGUGAAAGUGUUUGUGUUUUCUACCAAAAGACUAUUCAAUGCCAUAAAUACAGUUGUUCCUACCUUUCCUCUUACCCUUAGAGAGUAAUUUUCUGACUUUCCUCAAUGUACAGAGUGGGGGAAAUGUGAAACAGGUAAACUAUAAGGCUAAAAAAAGGCUAAUAAGAGAAUAGUAAUUCAGAAGUUUGAUUUUGGUUUGGUGGGUUAUUUUUCACAGACAAUCGUAUGAUUUUUUUUCCAAAUCUUGGUUCAAGAUUUUUGAGAAGCAGGGCUUACUCUUCAUAUGUGCAUCCCUUUCCAAACUUCCAUAGACUGUAUCCAGGUAAGGAUAGGCCAUACUUCCAAAAUCAGAAUGAACUGAACCGAAACAGAGAUAAACAUAUGUGAUUGAAUGACAUACAAAGGAAAAUACAAGGAAAACCAAGCUGACACUUAACAUGUAACCACCAGACUCCAUUGCACAACACUGCACAACACCCUAUGCAAGGUGACUGCUUUUGUAACCAAGUUGCUUAAGCCACAGAGGAAUGAUCAAA